rnacentral:rRNA from 1 species
UGGCGGACGGGUGAGUAACGCGUGGGUAACCUGCCUCAUACAGGGGGAUAACAGUUGGAAACGGCUGCUAAUACCGCAUAAGCGCACAGUACCGCAUGGUACCGUGUGAAAAACUCCGGUGGUAUGAGAUGGACCCGCGUCUGAUUAGCUAGUUGGUGGGGUAACGGCCUACCAAGGCGACGAUCAGUAGCCGACCUGAGAGGGUGACCGGCCACAUUGGGACUGAGACACGGCCCAAACUCCUACGGGAGGCAGCAUG